UUAGGAAUAUUCGGCAAUGGGGGAAACCCUGACCGAGCAAUGCCGCGUGUGAGAUGAAGGCCCUAUGGGUUGUAAAUCACUUUUAUUUGGGAAGAACUGUAGGUAUAGGAAAUGAUAUCUACUUGACGGUACCUUUUGAAUAAGCCCCGGCUAACUACGUGCCAGCAGCCGCGGUAAUACGUAGGGGGCGAGCGUUAUCCGGAUUUAUUGGGCGUAAAGCGUGCGUAGGCGGUUUGUUAAGUCCAGAAUUAAAGCCCGAGGCUUAACCUCGGUUCGUUCUGGAUACUGGCAGGCUUGAGUAUGGUAGAGGCAAAUGGAAUUCCUAGUGUAGCGGUGAAAUGCGUAGAUAUUAGGAGGAACACCAGUGGCGAAGGCGAUUUGCUGGGCCAUCACUGACGCUGAGGUACGAAAGCGUGGGGAGCAAAUAGG
rnacentral:rRNA from 1 species